rnacentral:rRNA from 1 species
GAUGAACGCUAGCGGCAGGCUUAAUACAUGCAAGUCGUGGGGCAGCAGGUCUGUAGCAAUACAGAUGCUGGCGACCGGCAAACGGGUGCGGAACACGUACACAACUUUCCUUUAAGUGGGGAAUAGCCCAGAGAAAUUUGGAUUAAUACCCCGUAACAUAGUGAAAAGGCAUCUUUUUAUUAUUAUAGCAGCAAUGCGCUUAAUGAUGAGUGUGCGUCUGAUUAGGUAGUUGGCGGAGUAAUAGCCCACCAAGCCUACGAUCAGUAACUGGUGUGAGAGCACGACCAGUCACACGGCACUGAGACACGGGCCCGACUCCUACGGGAGGCAGCAGUAAGGAAGAUUGGGCAAUGGACGCAAGUCUGACCCAGACAUGCCGCGUGGAGGAUGAAGGUCCUCUGGAUUGUAAACUUCUUUUAUCUGGGAAGAAAUCCAUCUUUUCUUGGGUGGUUGACGGUACCAGAUGAAUAAGCACCGGCUAACUCCGUGCCAGCAGCCGCCGUAA